AAGUACACAUAUGUAAACACAUGCUAGCCUGCUCUUUGGGCUGUUUUCACUGUGUCCUGCGUCCCUCCCUGUUCCUCCUUCAUCUUUCCCUUUCUCUUCCCACUCCCACAACCCUCUCAUUAAAGGCCUCAUCCCCGCCCUCUGCUGAUAACCAAGUGCUGAGUCAGGCCGAGAACAUAAACCAGGCGCUCUGAAUUUCUCCUUCCAGGCUCCCCAUGCUUUCAUUCUGCACCUGAGAAAACCAUUUUAACAUUUUCUGUUCUAGCCUUUAUGUAAUUACCAUUAAUUUCUAUGAGCUAAUUUAAUGUCCUCUUCAGAGUCUAUGGCUGGAAGGUAAUAAUCCUUCAGUUUGAGUAAUAAUAAUAAUCUUUACUACUGUUUUGGCCCAUAACAUCUUAAACACCCAUUCUUGGAACUUGCUACAAAAGUUACUGAAAUUAGUGAGAACCAAUUGAUAUUUCCAGCAUAAAGCUGCUCUGCAUGACAUCUGUAUAACUGCUUUGCAUGUGUGUAUUUUAAUUGUCGUUAUUGCUUGGUAAUAAUUUAUUCAAGAAUUAACAAAAUUCAGCUUGGGGUUAGAUUUUAGUAGAAUAUUGGGGAGGGUGCAACCGUUUUUUCUUUUUUAAUUCUACGUCUUCCAAAUUUAUUAACUUGUUUCUUUAAGUUCAAAUGGAUACAAUCACAUGCAGACUCUGGCAUGUCUAUGCAUAGGUAAACUUUUUCUCCCUUCACAGUAAGUAAAAUUUCAAGUAAAAUUUUGUAAGCAUAAUGGCCUUAACUCCCUAUAAAACUUCCCUGUUAUACUUUUUUUUUUUUUACAUUAACUAACAUUAAUUAUAUGUUUGUUCUAGGACAGUUGUACACUGACCAGUCUUUCGGUUGAUUUGUGGAACUUUUAACUCUUUGGUCUUUUAGAGAAUCCGAGUUCAUAAAAGACGCAGAUGAAGAGAAAGCUUCCUUGCAGAAAUCCAUCAGUAUAACUAGUGCCUUACUCACAGAAAAGGAUGCCGAGCUGGAGAAACUGAGAAAUGAGGUCACAGUGCUCAGGGGAGAAAACGCCUCUGCCAAGUCCUUGCAUUCAGUUGUUCAGACUCUAGAGUCUGAUAAGGUGAAGCUUGAGCUCAAGGUAAAGAACUUGGAGCUUCAACUCAAAGAAAACAAGAGGCAGCUCAGCAGCUCCUCAGGUAAUAUGGACACUCAGGCAGACGAGGAUGAAAGAGCCCAGGAGAGUCAGGUAAUGUUCCUGCCUUAUUGCUUUACUUUCUUGCUAUUUUUCAAAAUCAUUGAAUCUUUUGGUUUAUUUUCCUUCUUAUUUGAUGCCUUUUGUAUCAUUUAGUCUUUUGAAUGGGUAAUACAUUCCUCUAGUCCAAACAUUAAACAGAAUUAAAAAUAUAUACAUUAAAUGUCUUCCUCCAAACCUUCUCUCUCUUCUGCUCAGUUCCCAACCCUGCAAACAGUUAAUUACUGUUAUUAGUGUCUUUCCUUUUCAGAGAUUUUUUAAAGUGUGUAUAUAAGCCAGCACUAAUACAGUCUUCCCUCCCUUUUUUUUUUAACAUAAAUAAUGGCAUACUACAUAAACGGUUCUGCACUUAGCUUUUUUACAGCUAUGUAGUGUUCCAUUACGUGGAUUUACUAUAAUUUAGUCAGUUCCCUGUUGGUUGGCAAUGACCCUGGGAUGUUUCUGAUCCUUCGGGUGUAUUAUAAACAAUGCUGUAAGGAAUUAUCUUGGGCAGCUAUCAUUUUAUAUAUUAGUAUUUCUGCAGGAUGAAUUCCUAGAAGUAGAAUUGCUCUGUCAAAGGGUUUGUUACUCAUCUUAACCUUAAAAAGACUGGUUUCUUGAAAACUCAGUCUCUUAAAGCGAAAAUUAACAAAACAACUUUAGUUUUAAACUAAAACUGGGAUUAGGCCAGGAAUGGUGGCUCAUCCCUGUAAUUCCAGCUCUUUGGGAGGCCAAGGUGGGAUGACUGCUUGAGCCCAAAAGUUUGAGACCAACCUGGACAUAGCGAGACCUCAUCUCU
rnacentral:sRNA from 1 species